rnacentral:rRNA from 1 species
CUCGGGUGACGAGUGGCGGACGGGUGAGUAAUGUCUGGGAAACUGCCUGAUGGAGGGGGAUAACUACUGGAAACGGUAGCUAAUACCGCAUAAUGUCGCAAGACCAAAGAGGGGGACCUUCGGGCCUCUUGCCAUCAGAUGUGCCCAGAUGGGAUUAGCUAGUAGGUGGGGUAACGGCUCACCUAGGCGACGAUCCCUAGCUGGUCUGAGAGGAUGACCAGCCACACUGGAACUGAGACACGGUCCAGACUCCUACGGGAGGCAGCAGUGGGGAAUAUUGCACAAUGGGCGCAAGCCUGAUGCAGCCAUGCCGCGUGUAUGAAGAAGGCCUUCGGGUUGUAAAGUACUUUCAGCGGGGAGGAAGGUGUUGUGGUUAAUAACCACAGCAAUUGACGUUACCCGCAGAAGAAGCACCGGCUAACUCCGUGCCAGCAGCCGCGGUAAUACGGAGGGUGCAAGCGUUAAUCGGAAUUACUGGGCGUAAAGCGCACGCAGGCGGUCUGUCAAGUCGGAUGUGAAAUCCCCGGGCUCAACCUGGGAACUGCAUUCGAAACUGGCAGGCUGGAGUCUUGUAGAGGGGGGUAGAAUUCCAGGUGUAGCGGUGAAAUGCGUAGAGAUCUGGAGGAAUACCGGUGGCGAAGGCGGCCCCCUGGACAAAGACUGACGCUCAGGUGCGAAAGCGUGGGGAGCAAACAGGAUUAGAUACCCUGGUAGUCCACGCCGUACACGAUGUCGAUUUGGAGGUUGUGCCCUUGAGGCGUGGCUUCCGGAGCUAACGCGUUAAAUCGACCGCCUGGGGAGUACGGCCGCAAGGUUAAAACUCAAAUGAAUUGACGGGGGCCCGCACAAGCGGUGGAGCAUGUGGUUUAAUUCGAUGCAACGCGAAGAACCUUACCUGGUCUUGACAUCCACAGAACUUUCCAGAGAUGGAUUGGUGCCUUCGGGAACUGUGAGACAGGUGCUGCAUGGCUGUCGUCAGCUCGUGUUGUGAAAUGUUGGGUUAAGUCCCGCAACAAGCGCAACCCUUAUUCUUUUUUUGCCACCGGUUCGGCCGGGAAUUCUAAGGAAACUGCCCGUGAUA